GACAGAGGCCUCGAGCGUUAGGCGGAAUCACUGGGCUUAAAGCGUGUGUAGGCGGAUCGUUAAGUACCUUGUGAAAUCCCACGGCUCAACCGUGGAACGGCCCCGGGUACGGGCGGCCUCGAGGGGGGUAGGGGCGUGCGGAACUGUGGGUGGAGCGGUGAAAUGCGUUGAUAUCCACAGGAACUCCGGUGGCGAAGGCGGCACGCUGGACCCUCUCUGACGCUGAGGCGCGAAAGCCAGGGGAGCGAACGGG
rnacentral:rRNA from 1 species